CUUCUGUAUCUCGAUACUCUACUUUUAUUUCUUCCCGUAAAAGCAAAACCCUAAUCAAACCCAUCACCGCCAUCUUCAUCGUCCUCACCUCCACUCCAGCACCACCUCCACCAAAUCUACCACCAGCAACAGCAACACCACCUCCUAAACAAUCAAUUUAGAUGGAUUUUCAACUUCAAAACUUCAAUCCAGUGAUCAAUCAAUGAGAUACUGAAUUCUAAAGCCUAAUCUCGAGCAUCAAAAUUAUUAGAUUCAUUUCGAUUUCAACUGGAUUUGGCUUGAAGAACCUAAAAUCGAUGAUAACUAUGUUAGUUCUUACUUGUCUGCAUCGAUUAGGAAGAGACGAUGACAAUCGUCAUCAAUAAUUGAGUCUGAAAAUCCAAUCGUUAAAAACGAAUCAAAAUUGAUUAUCUUCUUUCUCUUAUUUAAGUUUCUGGUGGUGGUGUUGGUAUUGUAACUAGUGGUGAUGGAGAAGUCAAAACGACGCAAUUGAUGACUGACAUAGUGGUGUUCUUAUUUUGAUGGGCAGUUGAAUGAUUUGUUGAGCUUGGGGUAACACUGUGUAUUUAAACGAACGGCUCUUUCAUGGAGUGGAGCAAGAAAGAGGAUUGUGUAUUGGAUAUUUGUUGUGGAAGUGGAGAUUUAACAUUUUUUUUCUCUGAUAAGAUUGGUUCUCAAGGGAAUGUUUGGAGAAUCAUACUGUACUCCUUUAGUGUCUCUAAUUUUUUUAUAUUUUCAUCUUUUCCAAAUGUUGAUGCUUGCGUAAUAAUAGAUUAUAUUUGAUUGUUGUUUUGUUUUUCAAUUUGUAGGUUACUGGUCUUAAUGUCUCGCAAUUGUAUGUAGUUGCAUAUAGACAUGGAUCAUUACUUGGAAAACCCUGCUACCAGAACAUUGUGUGAGCAUUGGUAACAGUUUAUAGGAAGCUAAAAUGACACUGGUGGUGGGUGAUUAGAUAGUGAGUGUCGAUGCCAGAAAUGUGCUAGGUGGUUUUCUUUUUUUCCAAAAGUUACAUUGGUUGCAAUUUAUAAAGAUGGGUGGAAGUCUAUAAUGCCUCAAUGCAGGAUGCUAUCUCUUGAAGAUGCUAUUAUCAGUUUGUUCUUCGAAAUAUUGCAGCACUUGUUACAUUAUGCCUUUAUUUUUACAUGAAAAUAUUGUUUUUCAGUGCUGAUGCCACUUUUGUCUCUUUUCAACCUUUUGUUUGCAACUAUUAGUAUACAGUAUAGAAAUAUUAAUGUAGUUAUUUUUUGGUCAGUCAUUGUGUUUGUUACCAUUGGUAACCCUAUUAAGAUCUCUGGUUUCUUAUAUAUGUGGCUUUUGGGAUCCAUGAGAGCUGUCUAGUUCUCGGUGUUCUGAGCACCUCUUUUUUUCUUGUGCGAAUGUAUAACUUAAAGGUCGACAUGCUAUUUACAUUUAUAUAGUGUUACCUACGUGUUUAAGUGAAUUAGUUCUCCGUGGGUCUCUAUACACUGUCAACUUUUCUGAAAAUUUUUGUAUGCUCUUUCUUGCGCUAUUCUAUGUACUGGUUGCUUAAUGAUAUAAAAUUGGUAAUUAUUAGACGAACUUGUGGUUUAAUGGUAGCACAACUGACUUCACGUCAGAAGAUACGUGUUCGAUUCACGUUGGGUUCACUAAUUUUAAUACAUAAAUUUUUGGGAUCAACUUUGGUUGUUGACAUUAGAUUUUGGGGUCAACUUUGGUUGUUGUCAUCACAUUUUGGGAUCAACUUUGGUUGUUGACAUCAUACAUAAUCUGAACAUUUUUUGAAUUUGUAAUUUUGGUAUCAACUUUGGUUGUUGACAACAGAUUAUGGGAUCAACUUUGGUUGUUGACACCAGACAAAAUCCAAACAUUUUCUGAAUUUUUAAAUUUGGUUCAACUUCGGUUGUUGACACCUUAUAUUUUUUAUUUUUAUGAUUUUUGGUUUGGGGAUCAACUUCGUUCGUUGACACCAUAUUUUUUUU